rnacentral:rRNA from 1 species
UACAGAGGGUGCAAGCGUUGUUCGGAAUUACUGGGCGUAAAGCGCACGUAGGUGGCGACGUAAGUCGGGUGUGAAAGCCCCGGGCUCAACCUGGGAAUUGCAUUCGAGACUGCAUUGCUGGAGUACGGAAGAGGAGGGCGGAAUUCCCGGUGUAGCGGUGAAAUGCGUAGAUAUCGGGAGGAACAUCAGUGGCGAAGGCGGCCCUCUGGUCCAGUACUGACACUCAAGUGCGAAAGCGUGGGGAGCGAACAGG